rnacentral:rRNA from 1 species
CCUACGGGUCGCACCAGUGGGGAAUAUUGCACAAUGGGCGCGAGCCUGAUGCAGCCAUGCCGCGUGUAUGAAGAAGGCCUUCGGGUUGUAAAGUACUUUCAGCGGGGAGGAAGGCGAUAAGGUUAAUAACCUUGUCGAUUGACGUUACCCACAGAAGAAGCACCGGCUAACUCCGUGCCAGCAGCCGCGGUAAUACGGAGGGUGCAAGCGUUAAUCGGAAUUACUGGGCGUAAAGCGCACGCAGGCGGUCUGUCAAGUCGGAUGUGAAAUCCCCGGGCUCAGCCUGGGAACUGCAUUCGAAGCUGGCAGGCUAGAGUCUUGUAGAGGGGGGUAGAAUUCCAGGUGUAGCGGUGAAAUGCGUAGAGGUCUGGAGGAAUACCGGUGGCGAAGGCGGCCCCCUGGACAAAGACUGACGCUUAGGUGCGAAAGCGUGGGGAGCAAACAGGAUUAGAUACCCUCGUAGUC